GAAAAUGUGGAGGAGCCAAACCUGGAUGAGCUGCUGGUCCGAUUGGAGGAGGAGCAACAGAGGUGUGAGAGUCUAGCAGAGGUGAACACCCAGCUUCGACUGCACAUGGAAAAAGCUGACGUGGUGAAUAAAGCCCUUAGGGAAGAUGUGGAAAAACUGACAGUGGACUGGAGCCGGGCCCGGGAUGAGCUAAUGAGGAAGGAGAGCCAGUGGCAGAUGGAGCAGGAGUUCUUCAAGGGCUACCUGAAAGGGGAGCACGGUCGCCUUCUCAGUCUAUGGCGGGAGGUUGUGACGUUCCGACGCCACUUCCUGGAAAUGAAGUCAGCUACUGACAGUGGAGUCUGCUGUUUUCCUUGCUUGUACUCAGAGAUCUGAUGGAG
rnacentral:sRNA from 1 species